UUAGGUGUAGGUUAUUUAGACUUUCAAUUUUCAAAAUUGAGUGUAAUUUUUUUUAUUUCUUCUAAG
rnacentral:tRNA from 1 species